rnacentral:rRNA from 1 species
GACAUAGGUUGCGAACGUUAUCCGGAAUUAUUGGGCGUAAAGGAUGCGUAGAUGGUUUGAUAAGUUAUCAGUGGCAAAUCGGGGCUCAACCUCGUGGAAGCUGGUAAUACUGUCAUACUCGAGUGCAGGAGAAGUUAACGGAACUCUAUAUGGAGCGGUAAAAUGUGACGAUAUAUAGAAGAACACCAAUAAGGCGAAGGCAGUUAACUAUUCUGUUACUGACAUUGAGGCAUGAAAGCGUGGGGAGCAAAAAGG